UAUAUAAGAUGUUAUCGAGGGUGAUAUGUACAUAUAUACCAAUAACAAAAAGACCUAUCAAAAAGUUACAACCCUGAACUGCACUCUCACAUCAAACAGAUGUAAUGAUUAUCCCUGUCAUCGUCUGCUGCAACAACAGGCUCCUCAACAACAAGCUCAACUGAAAAGGGUAAUAGUACGGUGACCAUAAUCCACUUGCUCAGUAGUGACCCACAUUCAUAAAAUAUUAUCCAACCAUGACGAUAAAUCACGCUAACAGUUUAAAAUAUGCAAGUUUAAAUAAGAACUGUAAAUAUAAUGUAAAAUAUUUUCUGCUGUCAGUAAUAUGUAAUAUUCAAACAUUCAUACAAUAAGGCGGGUAGUUGCAUCCUAUUAAAGUGGUGAGAAUACGACUGGAAUUCAGCCCGAGUCCCAAGCAAUAUCUUGGUUCAUUACUUAUCAGUGUGUACCUUCACCGUUAUUCCUGAUUUUUCGGUCGGGUGAUUACCGUUUUGUGUCUCGAGAACACUAAACCUCUUUUAGGGCUCAGGUGGGCCAUUUGACCACGACGCUCCAGAGGGAGAAUCACCUAUCACGGUGGUCAACUGUUUGACGACUGCAGACUGCACAGGAUCCUGACACACAUCCAAGAGUGGACUAACUCUCACUCCUCGCGUCUAAACCUCCUCGAAGUAGCAUGUAUCCCCACAACACACUAAACACCAACAACGUACCACUAAAAGCAUGAUAAUCCAGGAAGGUAGAAAAGGAAUUCCCGGAAACAUCCAACAAUGUUCGCCUCUAAAGGUGAACAACGCAUAUGUAAUCCUAGAAAGAAUUGUCAUCUCUGGAAUAUGACAACAAUUCCUUCUUUGUAGGAAUUCACAGAUUUCUUGCCAGACCGCCUCGAGAUACAAUAUAUAUAAUAUAUAGGGUGUCUUUUAAUAAUAAUUAAUUUAAUCUGACAUGUGUGAUAAGUCCCUUAAUUUAUCAACCAUCAAACCAGUUCUCUAUUCACGGCUACCAAACACGGGCACUAGGCGAAGGGAUUAUAAUCCGAUUUAUAAUGAUAUGUUUGUGUAAGCACCCAGAUCAUAUUCCCAAUUCAAGAACCUCACACCAUACCAACAUACAACUGCGACCCCACAUCACACAUACAAAAUCCAUCCUGGAAAAGAGAUGCAAUAAAAACUUCAAUAGUUUUGUUGUUUAUAAAAUAAUAUCCUGUACUACUUUAACAACUUCAAUUUAAAAACACGAUAUCUGUAACUACCUAGUUUGAUAGAAGCUAUAAUCGGUAAACCACGAGUACUAUAUAUAUACCAAACAAAACCAUGCAUGCAUUUUAUCAUCACUAUACGAACUGUACUGUAACAUUUAUUAAAAUAUAAACCACGAGAGGAUAAUAUAAAGAAAAUGUAAGUCUCUACCUUGGCACGCUCCACCAAUCGCUCUCAGAAACCCGAGUAAAGCACUAAAUCAAAAUCCUAGAAACGCAAGCGAAAUCAUAAUUAUAUAAUGUAUAUAAGAAAAAUUAUUAUAUAUUUUCUAAUCGUGAAUUUUUCAUGUCACUAAUGGUUUUCUAGUGAAAUCUAUCGUAUGGACUAUAACCUAUUAGAUAAGUUAUUGUUAAGGUAUAAGUAUUGACGUUGGCUGCCCAUCGUCAGUCCUUCGUAUUAGCCUAUCAACAUGGAAACUAAAUCACAAAAGGGGACCUAUUUGACCGCAUCAGUCCAUAUCAAGAACAAAGGACUGAAUUACUUACUAGUAGAAUUACAACGAGUUUUGGGUAACCUGACUUCUAAACUUAUUUGAUCCAUACUAUGCGCCAUCUAUUUCAAGCCUUAGGUAAUCACCAAGGACCAUAUGAGAAGAAGAACUCAAUGACCUGGUGUUGUAGUUAAACUUAUAGAAAAAAAAAAAAAAAAAAAAACUUAGGCCCUGCUUGGUUACCCCGCAAAAAUUUGCAUGAAAUUUAGCCUAAUUUAAUAUGCUUGAAACUCUUGAUAAUUAGUUUUAUGAACAAAAUUUAUGCAAAAGUAUGGUGCUAUUUCAAAAGUGCAAAAUUUUUACACCUUUCUCUAAUAAACGUAGUAGGGGACCAUUUAUGAUUAUCUCAUGUUUAUGCAAGGUUUAAGUGGGGGACCAAUAGGGUUUAAGCUAAAAUAGGUGGGGGUCCAUUCAAAUUAAAGAGUAAACUUGGGAGGGACCACUCUAACUAUAGAUGGGUAAAAAUUUGCCUUUUUCGCAGCCCAAACAAGCAGGGCCUUAACCUCAAAGAUUCCAUUAAUCACUAAUCCUUCCUUACAUAUCAAUAGGUGGUCUACAAUAUUUCACUCUAUAUAAACUUAAAGAUACACAAUAUUCCAGCCAUCAAAAUCGGACAUAACUUUGGGUAAUUUCACUAGAUAUUAAAUGUAUAAGGUGGGUGUACCAUAUUAUUGGUGUCUAAUUGGAAGAAAAAAAAAUAAGUAAUGAAAGUUCUUACCUAUAUGAUUUGUUUCCUGGUCCUUCUUUCCUUUUGUUUUCCUUAUCUUAGUCUACCUUUUGAACCACCAGCUGAUAACAUCCCAACACCCUAGUACUUCUAAGCCUUUAGAUAAUAUUAAAGUCUAUGAUCUUAGUGAACAAUUACAUGAAAGAGAUGAAGCAGAGAACCUCUAUCACAACAUAGUACUCAUCUUCUCUUG
rnacentral:lncRNA from 1 species